GUCCCAGUAGCGCAAUGGAAAGCGCGUUGGACUUCUAAUCCAAAGAUCGUGGUUUCGAAUCCCACUUGGGAUG